CCUACGGGUGGCUGCAGUGGGGAAUAUUGGGCAAUGGACGCAAGUCUGACCCAGCAACGCCGCGUGAAGGAAGAAGGCUUUCGGGUUGUAAACUUCUUUUAAGGGGGAAGAGCAGAAGACGGUACCCCUUGAAUAAGCCACGGCUAACUACGUGCCAGCAACCGCGGUAAUACGUAGGUGGCAAGCGUUGUCCGGAUUUACUGGGUGUAAAGGGCGUGCAGCCGGGAAGACAAGUCAGAUGUGAAAUCCCGCGGCACAACCGCGGAACUGCAUUUGAAACUGUUUUUCGUGAGUAUCGGAGAGGUGAGGGGAAUUCCUAGUGUAGCGGUGAAAUGCGUAGAUAUUAGGAAGAAAACGAGUGGAGAGGGCGGAUUAAUGGACGAAAACUGACGGUGAGGCGAGAAAGCGGGGGGAGCAAACAGGAUGAGAUACCCUUGUAG
rnacentral:rRNA from 1 species